GGUUCAGACAUUUGGUGUAUGUGC
rnacentral:piRNA from 2 species